rnacentral:tRNA from 1 species
GCUCCUGUAGCUCAGUUGGAUAGAGCGUUGGCCUCCGGAGCCAAAGGUCGGGGGUUCGAGUCCCCCCAGGUGCG